rnacentral:rRNA from 1 species
AUUGAACGCUGGCGGCAGGCCUAACACAUGCAAGUCGAGCGGAUGAAGGGAGCUUGCUCCUGGAUUCAGCGGCGGACGGGUGAGUAAUGCCUAGGAAUCUGCCUGGUAGUGGGUGAUAACGUCCGGAAACGGGCGCUAAUACCGCAUACGUCCUGAGGGAGAAAGUGGGGGAUCUUCGGACCUCACGCUAUCAGAUGAGCCUAGGUCGGAUUAGCUAGUUGGUGGGGUAAAGGCCUACCAAGGCGACGAUCCGUAAAUGGUCUGAGAGGAUGAUCAGUCACACUGGAACUGAGACACGGUCCAGACUCCUACGGGAGGCAGCAGUGGGGAAUAUUGGACAAUGGGCGAAAGCCUGAUCCAGCCAUGCCGCGUGUGUGAAGAAGGUCUUCGGAUUGUAAAGCACUUUAAGUUGGGAGGAAGGGCAGUAAGUUAAUACCUUGCUGUUUUGACGUUACCAACAGAAUAAGCACCGGCUAACUUCGUG